rnacentral:rRNA from 1 species
CCUACGGGCGGCAGCAGUGGGGAAUAUUGCACAAUGGUGGGAACACUGAUCCAGCGAAGCCGCGUGAGUGAAGAAGUAAUUCGGUAUGUAAAGCUCUAUCAGCCGGGAAGCAAAUGACGGUACCUGAGUAAGAAGCCCCGGCUAACUACGUGCCAGCAGCCGCGGUAAUACGGAGGGGGCAAGCGUUAUCCGGAUUUACUGGGUGUAAAGGGAGCGUAGACGGCAGUGCAGGUCUGGAGUGAAAGGCGGGGGCGCAACCCCCGGACUGCUCGUGAAACUGGACGGCUGGAGUGCAGGAGAGGUAAGUGGAAUGCCUAGUGUAGCGGUGAAAUGCGUAGAUAUUAGGAGGAACACCAGUGGCGAAGGCGGCUUACUGGACUGUAACUGACGUUGAGGCUCGAAAGCGUGGGGAGCAAACAGGAUUAGAUACCCUAGUAGUC